rnacentral:rRNA from 1 species
UACCAGCACCCCGAGUGGUCGGGACGUUUAUUGGGCCUAAAGCAUCCGUAGCCGGUUCUACAAGUCUUCCGUUAAAUCCACCUGCUUAACAGAUGGGCUGCGGAAGAUACUAUAGAGCUAGGAGGCGGGAGAGGCAAGCGGUACUCGAUGGGUAGGGGUAAAAUCCGUUGAUCCAUUGAAGACCACCAGUGGCGAAGGCAGCUCGCUGGGACGGUACUGACGCUGAGACGCGAAAGCGUGGGGAGCAAACAGG